UAGGUGAAGGAUUUGAGGUUGUUUUAUUCUUCUUUCAUAAUUGGUUAAAAAAAAAAUCCUCAAAGCAAAGAUUAGGGCUUUUAAGUGUGUUUUAUAAUUUGAAGAAAAAUGUCAAAUUUUAGUAUCAAUAGGAAGAUAAAAUUUGGAUUUUACUUUAGCAAUAGGAACACACAUUUCAUUUUAAAAGUUGUAAUUUGCUUCGCACCAAGAAUAAGCAACCUUUACACUUACAUGAUAGUUUUAUACAGGAAGGUUUCAAAAAUAAGUUACAUUAGGUGGCAAGUAUGACGUGGGGUCAAUAGCUCUUCAAUUAAUCAGAAAGGAAAAUGAAGCUUUUUAAACAUGAAAUUCUGGACUACUUCAGGUAUUCAGAGCAUACGUUUUUCUCUUUAGGAGGUUUGUCUUCAAAUAGUGAGAAAGAUUCACUAAUAUUUCUAAUUCAUAAGCGAUAUCAAGAAAGCUAUGUAUAAUAAAUAUGUAAGUACAGUGUCAGUACAAACCUUGCAAAUAAAUAAAUUUAAACACCAA